GUGGAUUAGAUACCCUGGUAGUCCACGCUGUAAACGAUGGAUACUAGAUGCAGGGGGUAUUCACUCCUUCUGUGUCGCAGCUAACGCAAUAAGUAUCCCGCCUGGGGAGUACGGCCGCAAGGUUGAAACUCAAAGGAAUUGACGGGGGCCCGCACAAGCAGCGGAGCAUGUGGUUUAAUUCGACGCAACGCGAAAAACCUUACCAAGACUUGACAUCGUGCGCUAUCCCUGGAAACAGGGAGUUCCUUCGGGACGCACAGACAGGUGGUGCACGGUCGUCGCCAGCU
rnacentral:rRNA from 1 species